UACGGCAAUAUCACAUGGAAGCGGUUCCCGUACGAUUACUGAAGUUAAAAUACGUCAGACCUGGUCAGUACUUGGAUGGGUAACCACUUGGGAAUAUCAAGGGCUGUAA